UACGUAGGCAGCAAGCGUUGUUCGGAAUUACUGGGCGUAAAGAGUGUGUAGGUGGUGAUCUAAGUUUGUCGUGAAAUCUCCCGGCUUAACUGGGAGGGUGCGGCGAAAACUGGAUCGCUAGAGUAUGGGAGAGGUAAGCGGAAUUCCUGGUGUAGCGGUGAAAUGCGUAGAUAUCAGGAGGAACACCUGUGGCGAAGGCGGCGAUCUGGGUAGAUACUGACGCUGAGGUGCGAAGGCGUGGGGAGCAAACAGG
rnacentral:rRNA from 1 species